rnacentral:rRNA from 1 species
UACCGAGGUCCCAAGCGUUGUUCGGAUUCACUGGGCGUAAAGGGUGCGUAGGCGGUCGGGUAAGUCUGAUGUGAAAUCUCACAGCUUAACUGUGAAACUGCAUUGGAUACUAUUCGGCUUGAGAGUUGGAGGGGGGACUGGAAUUCUUGGUGUAGCAGUGAAAUGCGUAGAUAUCAAGAGGAACACCAGUGGCGAAGGCGAGUCCCUGGACAACUUCUGACGCUGAGGCACGAAAGCUAGGGGAGCAAACAGG